AUUGAACGCUGGCGGCAGGCCUAACACAUGCAAGUCGAGCGAGCGGCGGACGGGUGAGUAAUGUCUGGGGAACUGCCUGAUGGCGGGGGAUAACUACUGGAAACGGUAGCUAAUACCGCAUACCAUCAGAUGUGCCCAUAUGGGAUUAGCUAGUUGGUGGGGUAACGGCUCACCAAGGCGACGAUCCCUAGCUGGUCUGAGAGGAUGACCAGCCACACUGGGACUGAGACACGGUCCAGACUCCUACGGGAGGCAGCAGUGGGGAAUAUUGCACAAUGGGCGCAAGCCUGAUGCAGCCAUGCCGCGUGUAUGAAGAAGGCCUUCGGGUUGUAAAGUACUUUCAGCCGGGAGGCGUUACCGGCAGAAGAAGCACCGGCUAACUCCGUGCCAGCAGCCGCGGUAAUUC
rnacentral:rRNA from 1 species